AGGGAGGCGCGGAGACGGGGAGAUUGUUUGGAUUGUACUCC
rnacentral:misc_RNA from 1 species